rnacentral:rRNA from 1 species
UACGGAGGGUGCGAGCGUUGUCCGGAAUCACUGGGCGUAAAGGGCGCGUAGGCGGCGCGGUUAGUCGGCGGUGAAAGCCCGGAGCUCAACUCCGGGUCGGCCGUCGAUACUUCCGGGCUUGAGCACUGUAGAGGCAGAUGGAAUUCCGGGUGUAGCGGUGAAAUGCGCAGAUAUCGGGAAGAACACCUAUGGCGAAGGCAGCUCACUGGACGAAUAUUGACACUGAGGCACGAAAGCGUGGGGAUCAAACAGG